AGCGGCGAACGGGUGAGUAACACGUAGGUGAUCUGCCCAUCAGACGGGGACAACGAUUGGAAACGAUCGCUAAUACCGGAUAGGACGAAAGUUUAAAGGUGCUUCUGGCACCGCUGAUGGAUGAGCCUGCGGCGCAUUAGCUAGUUGGUAGGGUAAAGGCCUACCAAGGCGACGAUGCGUAGCCGACCUGAGAGGGUGAACGGCCACACUGGGACUGAGACACGGCCCAGACUCCUACGGGAGGCAGCAGUAGGGAAUCUUCGGCAAUGGGCGAAAGCCUGACCGAGCAACGCCGCGUGAAUGAUGAAGGCCUUCGGGUUGUAAAAUUCUGUUAUAAGGGAAGAACGACUUUAGUAGGAAAUGGCUAGAGUGUGACGGUACCUUAUGAGAAAGCCGCGGCUAACUACGUGCCAGCAGCCGCGGUAAUACGUAGGUGGCGAGCGUUAUCCGGAAUUAUUGGGCGUAAAGAGCGCGCAGGUGGUUGAUUAAGUCUGAUGUGAAAGCCCACGGCUUAACCGUGGAGGGUCAUUGGAAACUGGUCGACUUGAGUGCAGAAGAGGGAAGUGGAAUUCCAUGUGUAGCGGUGAAAUGCGUAGAGAUAUGGAGGAACACCAGUGGCGAAGGCGGCUUCCUGGUCUGUAACUGACACUGAGGCGCGAAAGCGUGGGGAGCAAACAGGAUUAGAUACCCUGGUAGUCCACGCCGUAAACGAUGAGUGCUAAGUGU
rnacentral:rRNA from 1 species